AUUAACAUUAUUAGUGUUAGGGCAACUUGAUUACAGCAUGAGUGUCUAGAUAAACUUAGUAACCGAACCAACUGAGGAAACUGGAAUCGAACAGUGAAAACAGGUACAGUGCUGAAGACAAUCUUGAUAAAGGUACAGUGCUGAACAAGCAUGAAUUGUCAAGGCUUGUAAAAUAACACCAUUGUCUGCACUGUCAUGUCAAGACAUACAAGCCUAUGUUUCUCCCAGUUUGAAAAUAUUGGUGGCAAGACUUCAUUGUUCAUUGACCUAGCAAAAUGGCAGUGUCCAUAGCUUUCUCCUGGUAACAAUAUUCCAUGACACUUCAGAAAAACAGACCACCUCAGGUAAGGCUUCACAUAGUAUGUCCAACAUCAACCUAGUAAAAAGUUACUAUCAUUAAAAUAAAACACACGUUCUUCCUUGCAAAAGACAAAACAGUCGGUCAACGAAUGUCCACAUACUUAUUUUAGAAUAGCACAACACAAAUGCAACAUAUUUUGAAAACAUAAAUUAUUUCAGCAAGAAUCUGGCUAAGAAACCAUUGGUCAACCAAUGUCCAGAAACUACAUUCAAACCAAGAAUGACGUAUCGAGUCUCAAGACCUUUAUCUCAAGCCAACUUCAAAAAUCAAAAAUGAACUACAAAUCUUACUUUCUUGAGUGCACAGAAAAACAAUGUCCAACAGUAAUGCUCCUCAAAAGGAGUUUGGUGGGCUAAAAAUUCCCCUGUGUAAAGGGUGUUAAUAUGGCAGACUACUACAUUUCCUUGUGCAGUUUUUAACCCCCCUAGAAAUGAUUCUUCAAAACAUACAUGUCAUGAAUCCAUGCAAUAACUACUGUUUCUAGUAAGUCAUGGCUGUCAACCUGUCAUGCACAAUGCAAUAAUUUUAACUCUGAACUAGUGUACUACGUCUAAACUCUAAAGUGAUAAACAUUAAAUAAUAUCCAUGUCAAACCCAAUACAGAAUACUUAACGCAUGGCAGGGGUAAGGUAAUUGAAGUAACUAGCCAGUCUUAAACUAUGAAUAUUAGGCAUAAGCAUAAUAAACUGAUGCAUCCGAAGACGGUCAAUCUAGAAUAGAGACCGGGAGGGGAAGCAAAAGAUGCAAGAGAGCCUUUUUCCAUGGUUAGACUCAACCUAACACUUUACCUGAAGCCACAUGAUGCAUGGCCAAGAGUAUACUUCU
rnacentral:lncRNA from 1 species